rnacentral:lncRNA from 8 species
UUGGAUAUUUCCUGGAGAUUUGGGUCCCUAUGCAAUCAGAAAUGAUUCAAUAGUGCUUGCAGCAUUGAUCAACACAGAGAAAAAGUCACUUUCUUUAGGUUUCAUUUCAUAGAACACAGGAAAUCAGGUCUGACCAGUGGUAGGUCUAUUCAAUGAAAUGAGGCUCAGGGAACGUCCCAGUCACAGGCCAAUCAUGAACACACACGUACAGUCACGCUCAUUCAGAGACCAAUCAUGAACACAGCUGUACAGCCAUGACAACAGGUUUCUAUAAAAGCUUCUUGUUUGAGUCAACAUUUACACCUAUUUACGAUCAAAGAGCACUAGCCCAAGGGUAAUCCUAUCGUACCUGCUUCCUUCAGUCUCACAUCUCCUCCUUUCGACAACAUGUACUAAAACAACAUGAAAACAAUACACUUCUGGAUGUGUGGUCCUCGGCCUCCCAAUGGGGCUGGGGCCAGGGCUAAAGCAGGGGCCAAGAUAGCGGAUGGAUAACGCCAACCACUCUGCUUUCUCCCUCCCUCUGUCCCUUUCUCUCUGUUUCUUUCUCUUUCAUCAUCCUGGAAUUAAAGUGUGACUAUGUUAACCUGUCAGGUCAGUCAAAAAGAUUGCUACUGGUGUCACUGAAAUCCGGUACUACCCUG